GUAGAUCAAAUGGCCAACGCUCAUGUCAACAUGAACUUCAACGCGUUCCUAGAGAAAACCAAGCUGAAAGAUGAUGGCAGCAACUAUUCGGACUGGGUCCGGAACCUGAGGAUCAUCCUCAUAGCAGCCAAGAAAGAUUAUGUCCUAGAUGCACCGCUAGGUGAAGCACCCAUCCCAGAGAACCAAGACGUUAUGAACACUUGGCAAUCACGUGUUGAUGAUUACUCCCUCGUUCAGUGCGGCAUGCUUUACAGCUUAGAACCGGGGCUCCAAAAGCGUUUUGAGAAACACGGAGCAUAUGAGAUGUUCAAGGAGCUGAAAAUGGUUUUCCAAGCUCAUGCCCGGGUCGAGAGAUAUGAAGUC
rnacentral:rRNA from 1 species